rnacentral:rRNA from 1 species
CCUACGGGGGACAGCAGUAGGGAAUAUUGCUCAAUGGGGGAAACCCUGAAGCAGCAACGCCGCGUGGAGGAUGAAGGUUUUCGGAUUGUAAACUCCUUUUGUUAGAGAAGAUAAUGACGGUAUCUAACGAAUAAGCACCGGCUAACUCCGUGCCAGCAGCCGCGGUAAUACGGAGGGUGCAAGCGUAACCCGGAAUAACUGGGCGUAAGGAGCGCGUAGGCGGGAUAGAAAGUCAGAUGUGAAAUCCUAUGGCUUAACCAUAGAACUGCAUUUGAAACUGUUAUUCUAGAGUAUGGGAGAGGUAGGUGGAAUGCUUGGUGUAGGGGUAAAAUCCGUAGAGAUCAAGAGGAAUACUCAGUGCGAAGGCAACCUGCUAGAACGUAACUGACGCUGAUGCGCGAAAGCGUGGGGAGCAAACAGGAUUAGAUACCCGAGUAGUC